AUUGAACGCUGGCGGCAGGCCUAACACAUGCAAGUCGAGCGGAUGAAGGGAGCUUGCUCCUGGAUUCAGCGGCGGACGGGUGAGUAAUGCCUAGGAAUCUGCCUGGUAGUGGGGGAUAACGUCCGGAAACGGGCGCUAAUACCGCAUACGUCCUGAGGGAGAAAGUGGGGGAUCUUCGGACCUCACGCUAUCAGAUGAGCCUAGGUCGGAUUAGCUAGUUGGUGGGGUAAAGGCCUACCAAGGCGACGAUCCGUAACUGGUCUGAGAGGAUGAUCAGUCACACUGGAACUGAGACACGGUCCAGACUCCUACGGGCGGCAGCAGUGGGGAAUAUUGGACAAUGGGCGAAAGCCUGAUCCAGCCAUGCCGCGUGUGUGAAGAAGGUCUUCGGAUUGUAAAGCACUUUAAGUUGGGAGGAAGGGCAGUAAGUUAAUACCUUGCUGUUUUGACGUUACCAACAGAAUAAGCACCGGCUAACUUCG
rnacentral:rRNA from 1 species